rnacentral:SRP_RNA from 1 species
GGGAACUGCGCGGCAGCAGUUCGGCGAACCCCGCCAGGGCCGGAAGGCAGCAACGGUAAGUCGAAACUCUGGGUGACGCGGCCCUCCCG